rnacentral:rRNA from 1 species
UACGUAGGCAGCGAGCGUUGUUCGGAGUUACUGGGCGUAAAGGGUGUGUAGGCGGUUGUUUAAGUUUGGUGUGAAAUCUCCCGGCUCAACUGGGAGGGUGCGCCGAAUACUGAAUGACUUGGAGUGCGGGGAGAGGAAAGUGGGAAUUCCUGGUGUAGCGGUGAAAUGCGUAGAUAUCAGGAGGAACACCGGUGGUGUAGACGGCUUUCUGGACCGUAACUGACGCUGAGACACGAAAAGCGUGGGGUAGCAAAACAGG